rnacentral:sRNA from 1 species
GUUCCCUUCGCCUCAUAAUCUGCC